UUUUAUAUAGUUUAAAUUAAAACAUUAUAUUUUCAUUAUAAAAAUAAUAAUAAUUAUUUAUAAAAU
rnacentral:tRNA from 1 species